UACGAAGGGGCUAGCGUUGCUCGGAAUCACUGGGCGUAAAGCGCACGUAGGCGGAUCGCUAAGUCAGGGGUGAAAUCCUGGAGCUCAACUCCAGAACUGCCUUUGAUACUGGCAAUCUCGAGUCCGGGAGAGGUGAGUGGAACUGCGAGUGUAGAGGUGAAAUUCGUAGAUAUUCGCAAGAACACCAGUGGCGAAGGCGGCUCACUGGCCCGGUACUGACGCUGAGGCACGAAAGCGAUG
rnacentral:rRNA from 1 species